UCUCUCUCGUCGGCUGCUCAACCGGUCUCUCGCCGGCCGGUUUGGCGCGCCCGGCAAUGGAGGCAGGCAGGACCGGCAGAGGCAGUGGCCAAAUUGCGCGCCGCCUCGGCGCCGCCGUCGUACUCUUCGAGUCGCGGAUCUCUUAGAGCGCGUCUCGCUGACUGCGUGAACGCGGUAGUGGUACUGUGUUCUGUGACCCGCGGGAGGUGGUUCUGGAGGAUCUUCGUCGUCUGUGUUGACGCACGGGCAUCCUAUGCACGCCAGGUGUUCGGGGAAAUUUCGGUAUGCCAUUUGGUUGCUCAUGUUUGGCGUUGACAGUCAAAUCCCAUGCGUGAGAAGCUGUUUGUCCAUGACCUCGUUGGAACCACGUAAGGUUGCACCAAUUUCUUGUCUGCCCAGACAGAGAUACAAAUGUGUUGUCUGGAGCUGACACUGUCUCAGUAGUCAUAGGUCACUUUUGAUGUUUUACUGGAGUGUGCUGCUAAUUUUUAACUCAUUUGGAUACAUUUCGUUUUCUUGAUGCUAUGCUUUGAAACUGGCAUUAUAUAGUUUUAGGAAUGCCUGUUAGUAAGACUUUGAUUGGAGGGUCAUAAACUCACAGUGGCCAUCCUCGGUAGUCCAUGUUGAAAUUUGAACUUUUGUAUAGUGAUGUUUAGUUUAGGAUAGGUGUUGAGGAUAGGUGCCCGGCUGGUCGCUUGCGCAUCUGAACUGUUCUCAGUUGGCAAGAUUAGCCGUUCUGUCAACUUUGACCCCACAAAUAAAGAAGAAUUGCUUGACUUAUCAGCUGAUCUUAUAUCAGGAAAGAAAAAAAAUAGCUUCCCAGCUGACCAUAGACAUUAAUCAAUUACCCUUGUGAAUCAUUUGGUCAUCAAGCCAGUAUUUUCUUUUCUAGAUUAAACCAAUCAUUGGUUUUUUGCCCCCUCUGAAAUCAGUUCAUUCCAUAUUCAAGACAUGUAAAAUAGCUGAAAUAUGUCUAUAAGUUGCAGUACUUCAAAGCUGUUCAUUCUCCUCCAAGUAACUGAAACUUGAAAGAAGCAGAUUCCAAUUUGAUUUCAGAAGUUUGGAGGCAGUUUGGCUAUACCGGAGUUACUCCGUGUCUCUGUUCAGAGUAGACUAUAACAGUGAUAGAGAGGCAGGGGGGUCAUCAAGCUCAUGAAAAUGGCACCAACAUCAUGCAUAGCUUGCUUCAUGACACCAGGGGCUGUGUGGUCAUUGUUGAGGCCUUGAUCCAGUCAAGAAAGCAAUGGAUGAAGCAUCUUUCAGUCUUUGAAUGCUGGCAAUGUCCGGGUUUAUCCUCAUUAGCAAGAAAAAGUCUGGUUGAGCACUUCCCCUGGGCAUGCAAGCAAGAGACUCAAGCACAUACAAUCUUGAUUUGGCACAUAGCUACCUACUACUGUGAAAUCUCACCACCUAAGUUGGAGUUGAGCGGGAGCCGAGAACAAGUGGAUGUUCUGAUUCACCAUAGUGUUACAACCAAACCAUCAAGAUACUGUGGAUACCGCCCGCUUGCGCAUUGGAAUUGUUCUCAUUUGACAAGAAGAGCUGUUCCAUCAACCUUGACUUAAGAUAAAAGAAGAGUUACUUAACUUAUCAUCAGCUGAUAUUGUAUCAGGGAAAAGGAGCUCAGCUGACUGUAGACGUUAAUCAGUUACCAAUGUGAAAUCAUGUGGUCAUGACUCAUUAUGAAGCAAGUAUUCUUUUAAUCUUUUUUAUAUGCUGGAGUAAAACAUUGAGUUUCGUCUAUAAAAGCAGUUGCUUCAUUCCAUGUCAAUGACAUGUUGGCAUAUUUCUAUAAUACAGGACCUCAAAGGUGCUAUUCUCCCUCCAAGUACUUGAAAGAAACCGGUUUCACCUUUAUUUCAGCAGUCUGGAUCUGACUCUGCUUACAGGAGCGAUUCUGGUUGGAGUAAAAGUUACAUAGUGAUGGAGAAACAGGGCUGCCAGCAAGCUCAUGGAAAUGGCACCAACAUCAUACAUAGCUUGCUCCAUGACCCCAGGGGUCGUGCGGUCAGCAUUGAGGCCUUGAUGCUUGUGGAAAUAGCCCUCUUAUGGCUCAUUGCUGCUCUUGGAUCAUGCCGUUGCCGAUCAAGCAGCAGGUGCAUCAGAACCCUGGUGUGGGCUGUGUACACUCUAAUAUUUCUCAUCUUUACAUACACUAUCGGCUUCAUGCAAUCAUCAUCCAUCAAGAUUGACCUGUAUCCGGUAUGGGCUGUCUCUUUCUUUGCAGUCCUUGGGUGCACCAACUCAAUCACUGCUUUCGAACUUGAUGAAAAUAAGCAAUGGACGAAACACUAUAUUCAGUUAAUCCUCUACUACACAUAUGUUUCUGUUAUCCUUCUGCACAUGUCAGAUGGUUUUAUAGCUACCAGUGUCACUCUUCUGUUCACUGUAACAAUCUACAAAAAUUAUAUGCGAAUACAUGCUUGUUUAUUGGCUAGCGAGUCAUGGUAUUCAAGUAAACUACUUGCUGACUACAUGAAGCAUGAAGUCGAUUCAAAUGAAUCCAGAUAUGAUCCUGUUAGCUUGGCAGGCUAUAAUUACCUUGUGUGCUGGACUGGUGCUAGGAUCAGGUCUGAACCUCCUUACUACCAAAAGCAGUUCAUUGCAACUGAGAAUGUUAUAACCAUUGAGCAGAUUUGGCGUUGUGAUGGUAGGCUGAUGAAGUCUGCUGGGGGUGCCCGAUUGAAAGAUGUAUGCCUUUCAUUUGCAUUUGUUCCAUUUGCUCCGGCGACGCUACUUUGGAUUUUCUUGUUCUGAACCUGGCCUUUAAAAGAGUCAUGACUUCAUCUUCAGAAGGUUGUUGGCCAGGGAAGAUGACUACAAUAGGGCUUUCGGGGUGAUACAAGUAGAGUUAAGUUUCCUAAAUGUUUUUUUCUUCACCAAGUAUGCCCUCAUGUAUUAUCGAGAGCGCGUAAUAUUCUACCUCACCAUAAUUUCUGUCACAUUAACCCCUUUGGUUAUACUGGCUGUAACUCGUGCCCGUGGAAUAUGUCAUUCUUCAAGCAAUUUGACCACGGUGGAAAUCAAGAAUUCUGAUAUUGUUAUUACUGUAAGAUUGUGUAUAAUGCGUGGGUUGUAUUGCUUGAGCCCCAUGGGCUGAUUAUAUAGGAGUACAUGUCUUGGAGGGCAAGCAGCCUCUCCUAAAGAUAAGGAAGGUUAUCCCGGGAUUACAAUCAAUCCUAAACUAACCAUAUCCGGAGUUACCUAACAUACUCUAACAUCCCCCCGCAGUCACAACAGAAACGCGCAGACGAUGAGACUGGAGAAUAAGCCGAAGAGAUGAUAUCCCCCGCAGUUGCAACCGUCGAUGCGUCGCAGAUGUUGUGGCUGGAAUGGGAGCUGAAGAGGCUUGUCAAGUAGAUGGUAGCCCCUUAGUGCUGAAGUAGCCAAGGUUGAGGUGGACGCGGUCGAAGCCGUGGAGGAGGGCGCGGGUCCGAAGCAUCAGCGAAGGCGCUCGAAUACACAAAAUCAGCAGCUUCUUGCCGACAGGUUCAGCAGGACGAUGAGCCGACUGCGAUGGUAGAUGGUGCAGCUAAAGAGCGCAAGUGCAUCUUCCUUUAGCAACAUCGACAGUGGUGUCCGCAAGCGUGCGGCAAUAGGUGCGGACUCGGACCGUGAGCCAACGUGACGAGGACCAGCAGCAUGGGUGGCGCCACUGCCUGAAAAGGCGGCGACAACGGCGGCGAUGGCUUGAUCACGAGCGUCGCCGCUGCAGCCUGGAGGGUGCAACGACAACCUCAUCCUUCGGGAGCGUCAACGAACAGCAGGGCGACGCAAACCCGAUCUCUGACCGAGAAAAAGAAAAACAACAGCAGUAGGAACCGCGAAUACAGUCUCAGGUGCACCUAGCUUUGCCCCUACUCAUAUCCUUAUCUCUUCCCGUCAGCCAAGGAUGGAGAGAAAUAGAGAUGCAGAGAGGAGGGGCGAGGCCCGCCCGCGAGCGAAAUCGACCAGGGCAGGGUGCAGCUGGAGCGGUGCCUCCGCUCCUGCUACGCGACAGGUCGGCAGCCCCGUGAGCCUCCCCCGCAGCCACGUCCUCACGCUCAACGGUAGUGGCGGAGGCGGUGCCGAGGGAUAAAGGGGGGAGCAGGCCUGACGAGCGCGGAGUAGAGGGCCAGCGGUGACGAGCGUUGUAGCCCGCCGGCGACGGUGGUGGAGCGGCACGGUGGAGGGCAUGGUGGACGGGCGCGGCGAGGAGGCCCCGAUGAGACCAGUCUGGCGAUGGAUCUCGACGAUGGCGUCGGCAACGACGACGUCUCCAGUGGCGCAACGACCCGGCCUAACCCCGACAUCUCCAGUGGCGCGGCAGCCCUGCGCCCCCACAGGUGUCCUUUGCAGCCGCACGCUCGCGCCCAAGGCAGCAGUGGCGGCGACGUCGAAGGAGAGGGGCGGCAUGGGAGAAGGCGACGAAGAUGCGACAGACGCAGCUCGACGAGAUCGAAUUGACCAUAGAGAGAGGUAGGCCCCUCUGCUGCUUCUUGACCACGACGGCGCGGCGGAUCAGAUGGAUCGGCCGCACAUCUUACGAGGGCGUUGCCCCCAGUGGAGAUCGCUCUCCCCGGGGGCGGCGUGAGGGCAGCGGAAGCCGGAGACCUAAGAUUAGAACCUAGACUCGUGAUACCAUGUAAGAUUGUGUAUAAUGCGUGGGUUGUAUUGCUUGAGUCCCAUGGGCUGAUUAUAUAAGAGUACAUGGUUUGGAGGGCAAGUAGCCUCUCCUAGAGAUAAGAAAGAUUAUCCCGGGAUUACAAUGAAUCCUAAACUAACCAUAUCCGGAGUUGCCUGAUAUACUCUAACAACUACUGUGCUAAAUUUGGCAUCACUUGCUUU